GGGGCGAGCGGCGGACGGGUUAGUAACGCGUGGGAAUAUACCCUUUGGUACGGAAUAGCCUCUGGAAACGGAGAGUAAUACCGUAUGAGCCCUUCGGGGGAAAGAUUUAUCGCCAAAGGAUUAGCCCGCGUUAGAUUAGGUAGUUGGUGGGGUAAUGGCCUACCAAGCCUACGAUCUAUAGCUGGUUUUAGAGGAUGAUCAGCAACACUGGGACUGAGACACGGCCCAGACUCCUACGGGAGGCAGCAGUGGGGAAUCUUGGACAAUGGGGGCAACCCUGAUCCAGCCAUGCCGCGUGAGUGAUGAAGGCCUUAGGGUCGUAAAGCUCUUUCGCCUGUGAAGAUAAUGACGGUAGCAGGUAAAGAAACCCCGGCUAACUCCGUGCCAGCAGCCGCGGUAAUACGGAGGGGGUUAGCGUUGUUCGGAAUUACUGGGCGUAAAGCGCACGUAGGCGGACUGGAAAGUUGGGGGUGAAAUCCCGGGGCUCAACCCCGGAACUGCCUCCAAAACUAUCAGUCUAGAGUUCGAGAGAGGUGAGUGGAAUUCCAAGUGUAGAGGUGAAAUUCGUAGAUAUUUGGAGGAACACCAGUGGCGAAGGCGGCUCACUGGCUCGAUACUGACGCUGAGGUGCGAAAGUGUGGGGAGCAAACAGGAUUAGAUACCCUGGUAGUCCACACCGUAAACGAUGAAUGCCAGUCGUCGGGUAGCAUGCUAUUCGGUGACACACCUAACGGAUUAAGCAUUCCGCCUGGGGAGUACGGUCGCAAGAU
rnacentral:rRNA from 1 species